UGAUACCUGGGAAAUGGCAAGAACCAAAGCAAGUAUUUGGAACUUACCUCAUUUUAUUUUCAUCUGCAGAACCCCAGCUUUCAGGUAUUUGCUUCAAGGAAGAAUGGAUAGCUGGAGGCAGAGCACAGCUCCUCAGAUUCAUUUGGAAUGCUAAAUGAAAUAGUGCAGUUGUGGGCUGAAUACUGUAGACCCUGGGAGAGAUAAAACUCCAGAGAGGGAAGAACCUCAGGCAGGUGGACUGCAUUCUGUACAUCCUUCUGUUCUGAUGUGGUAAGUAAAACUUUCAUCACAACUCAUGCAAGAGAUGCAUAUUUUUUG
rnacentral:lncRNA from 1 species